UGAAGUGAUGAUGGCAAAGAGGUCACACCUGUUCCCAUACCGAACACAGAAGUUAAGCUCUUUAGCGCCGAUGGUAGUUGGGGGUUUCCCCCUGCGAGAGUAGGACGUCGCUAGGC
rnacentral:rRNA from 1 species